rnacentral:rRNA from 1 species
AUGGAGAGCCCGGGCGGUGGCGCCGAGGCGCGCGCGCGCUCGAGGCAGUACGACUACGGCGCCAACACCAACCUCGUCGUCAACACCGGCUCGCGGCCCCGCGGCGCGCACCACGAGCCCACCGGCGAGCCCCAGACGCUCAGCGGCAGGAUCCGCGCGAGGAGCUUCGGCGACCGCGCCGUCCGGGCCAAGCCUCCCGGGCUAGAGGAGAAGCGAGGCAGGUCCCGCGGGAAGACGGCGCGCGAUGCGGCCUCCGCCGACCUCCCCCACCGCGACGCCAAGCGCAUGCGCCGCGGCUCCGUGCGGCACGAGGACAGCGUGCUCUCGCUCGCCCACGACGCCCUCUACAAGCCCCGGACCAGGGCGACGCGCACCGCCUACGAGGCGCUGCUCAGCGUCAUCCAGCAGCAGCUGGGCGGGCAGCCCCUCGACGUGCUUGGUGAUGCCGCGGAUGAGGUGCUUGCCGUCCUCAAGGACGACAGGACCAGGAACCCUGAUAAGAAGAAGGUCAUCGAGAAGCUCAUCAACCCUGUCUCGGGUCAGAUGUUCCACCAGCUCGUCUCCAUUGGGAAGCUCAUCACGGAUUUCCAUGACGCCGUCGAUUCUGCCGGUGUGCCUUCUGUUGAUGGCACAGACAUGCCACUCGAUGAUGAUAUUGGCAUUACUGUUGAGUUCGAAGAGGAUGAGGAUGAGGAGAGUAACCUUUAUCAGGUGCAAGAUGAGCUGGAUGAUGAGAAUGAGGAUGACUUUGUCGAGUUGAACGUUCCUGGAACUAUGCAAACGAAUGGUGAGUUGUAUGACGAUGAUAUGCAGAGCUGCAACAAGGGUCCGACUUUAGACGUGCAAGACAUUGAUGCUUACUGGCUUCAGAGGAAGAUAUCACAAGCAUAUGAAGAUAUUGACCCCCAGCGCAGCCAGAAGCUUGCCGAGGAGAUCUUGAAGGUGAUCGCUGAGGGUGACGACAGAGAUGUUGAGAAUCGGCUUGUCACGCUGCUGGACUACGAGAAUUUUGAUCUCAUUAAAUUGCUGCUUCACAACCGACUCAAGAUAGUUUGGUGUACCUUCUUAGCCAGGGCUGAAGAUCAGGAACAGCGGAAGAAGAUAGCAGAAGAGAUGAUGAGUAACCCAAGAUUAGCUCCAAUUUUGGAGCAGCUACAUGCAACGAGAGCAUCUGCAAAGGAGAGGCAGAAGAAUCUGGAGAGAAGUAUCAGGGAUGAGGCUAAGAGGCUCCUAAACAAUGACAGCGCUGGGACUGAUGGUGCGAGGGAUAGUAAGACAGUUGAUAUCAAAAGUGGAUGGUUUAAAGGCCAGAGGCAGCUGCUUGAUCUUGAUAACCUUUCUUUCCACCAAGGUAGUCUCUUGAUGUCCAACAAAAAAUGUGAACUUCCUCCAGGAUCAUUUAGAACCCCUCAGAGGGGUUACGAGGAAGUCCAUGUGCCAGCCUUGCGACCUAUGCCAUAUGAAUCUUCAGAGAAGAUUGUGAAGAUAUCUGAUAUGCCAGAGUGGGCCCGACCAGCUUUUGCUGGGAUGACUCAACUUAAUAGAGUGCAGAGCAAGGUUUAUGAUACUGCCCUUUACAAACCAGAUAACAUCCUUCUCUGUGCUCCAACGGGUGCUGGGAAAACCAAUGUGGCUGUGCUUACAAUUCUUCAGCAAAUUGGUUUGCAUAUGAAGGAUGGUAAAUUUGAUAAUACAAAGUACAAAAUUGUCUAUGUGGCCCCAAUGAAAGCUUUGGUUGCUGAAGUUGUUGGAAAUUUGUCAGCGCGGCUGAAAGAGUACAAUGUCACUGUUAGUGAGCUUAGUGGAGAUCAGAACCUGACCAAACAACAGAUUGAUGAGACACAGAUAAUUGUCACUACACCUGAGAAAUGGGAUAUUGUCACAAGGAAAUCAGGUGAUAGAAUCUAUACUCAAAUGGUAAAGCUUCUAAUCAUUGAUGAGAUCCAUCUACUCCAUGAUAACAGAGGGCCUGUUCUGGAGAGUAUUGUUUCUGGAACAGUACGGCAGAUUGAAACGACCAAGGAACAUAUCCGCCUAGUUGGCCUCUCUGCAACUCUCCCAAAUUAUGAAGAUAUUGCGGUAUUCUUGCGUGUUCGUUCGGACGGUCUCUUCCAUUUUGAUAACAGUUACCGACCUUGCCCUCUAGCUCAACAGUACAUCGGGAUCACAGCGAAGAAGCCACUGCAGAGGUUUCAGUUGAUGAAUGAGAUUUGUUAUGAGAAGGUUAUGGCUGCUGCUGGUAAGCACCAAGUGCUUAUAUUUGUGCACUCGAGGAAGGAGACAGCGCAAACUGCUCGUGCCAUCAGAGACACUGCAUUGGCUAAUGAUGUGUUGCCUCGCUUUCUGAAGGAUGACAGUGCAAGUCAAGAGAUCCUUUGUGCUCAUGCAGAACUUGUCAAAAGUAGUGACCUUAAAGACCUUUUGCCAUAUGGGUUUGCUAUUCAUCAUGCUGGCUUGGCAAGGGUAGACCGUGAACUUGUUGAGAAACUUUUUGUUGAUAAGCAUAUACAGGUCCUUAUUUCGACAGCCACUCUCGCAUGGGGUGUCAAUCUACCUGCACACACUGUUAUUAUAAAGGGUACCCAAAUUUACAAUUCAGAAAAGGGCACUUGGACAGAACUAAGUCCACUGGAUGCCAUGCAGAUGCUUGGUCGUGCAGGCAGGCCUCAGUAUGACACACAUGGAGAGGGUAUAAUCUUAACAAGCCACAGUGAAUUGCAAUACUACCCGGCUCUUAUGAAUCAACAGCUUCCUAUUGAGAGUCAGUUUAUAUCCAAACUGGCCGAUCAGUUAAAUGCAGAGAUUGUUUUGGGAACUGUUCAGAAUGCCCAGGAGGCAUGCUCGUGGCUUGGCUACACUUACCUCUACAUCCGGAUGCUCCGGACUCCAACAUUGUAUGGCCUACCUGAAGAUAUCAUGGAGAGAGACAGAACACUAGAUGAAAGGAGAGCCGACUUGGUACACUCAGCUGCAAAUCUGUUGGAUAGGAACAAUUUGAUAAAGUAUGAUAAGAAAACUGGAUACUUUCAGGCUACUGACCUGGGGAGGAUUUCUAGUUAUUACUAUAUUAGUCACAGGACUAUUUCAACUUACAACGAGUACCUGAAGCCUACAAUGGGUUAUAUUGAGCUGUGCCAAUUGUUCUCUCUUAGUGAAGAAUUUAAGUAUGUUAGUGUCAGAAAAGAUGAGAAGAUGGAGCUGGAAAAGCUUUUGGAUCGUGUGCCAAUUCCUGUGAAAGAGAGCUUGGAGGAGCCCAGCACAAAGAUCAAUGUUCUGCUGCAAGCAUAUAUUUCUGGGCUUAAGCUAGAGGGUCUCUCCCUUGGCUCUGAUAUGAUCUAUAUCAAACAGAGUGCUGGUCGCCUCUCACGAGCAAUAUUUGAGAUAGUUUUGAAGAGAGGAUGGUCUCAACUAGCAGAGAAGGCUCUGAAUCUUUGCACGAUGAUUGAUAAGCAGAUGUGGAGUGUCCAAAAUCCUUUGCGCCAGUUUCCUGGCAUUCCGAAUGAAAUCCUGAUGAAACUGGAGAAAAAGGAAUUGGCUUGGGAGAGGUACUUUGACCUAUCAUCACAGGAAAUUGGUGAGCUGAUCCGUUAUCCCAAGAUGGGGAGGCGGUUACACCAGUGCAUCCACCAGUUACCAAAGUUGAACCUUUCAUCCCAUGUUCAACCUAUUACUCGUACAGUUUUGGGUUUUGAGCUGACUCUAACUGCUGAUUUCCAGUGGGAUGAUAAGAUACAUGGAUAUGUUGAACCUUUUUGGAUUCUAGUCGAGGACAAUGAUAGCGAGUGCAUUCUUCACCAUGAAUACUUCAUGCUUAAGAAACAAUGGCUGAAUGAAGAUCAUACACUUAAUUUCACAGUGCCAAUAUAUGAGCCACUGCCCCCUCUGUACUUCAUACAUGUCGUAUCUGACAAGUGGCUUGGAUCUCGGACAAUUCUUCCAGUCUCAUUUAGGCACUUGGUUCUUCCAGACAAACAUGCCCCACCAACCGAAUUGCUUGAUCUGCAACCACUACCUGUUACCGCACUGAGGAAUGCACGAUAUGAAGGCCUUUAUAGUGCCUGGAAACAUUUCAACCCCAUUCAGACUCAAGUGUUCAGUGUCUUGUAUAACAGUGAUGAUAGUGUUUUGGUUGCUGCGCCAACAGGCAGCGGGAAGACCAUAUGUGCGGAGUUUGCAAUACUAAGGAACCAUCAAACGGCAGUAUCUAGUGAAACCAACAUGCGAAUUGUGUAUAUAGCGCCUAUUGAAGCUCUGGCGAAAGAAAGAUACAGGGACUGGGAGAUGAAAUUUGGAGAAUUCGCCCGUGUAGUUGAGCUAACUGGUGAAACUGCACGUGAUUUGAAGCUUCUUGAUAAAGGGGAGAUUAUUAUUAGCACUCCUGAGAAGUGGGAUUCACUCUCACGCCGGUGGAAGCAGAGGAAACACAUCCAACAGGUCAGCUUAUUCAUUGUCGAUGAGCUUCACCUAAUUGGAUCUGAGAAGGGACAUGUUUUGGAUAUCAUUGUUUCAAGGAUGAGGCGUAUUGCAAAUCAUACCUGCAGCAACAUCCGGAUCGUAGCGCUUUCAGCAUCACUUGCGAAUGCUAAAGAUCUCGGAGAGUGGAUUGGUGCCACCUCUCAUGGCCUUUUCAAUUUCCCUCCAGCAGUGCGGCCGGUACCUUUAGAAAUACACAUUCAGGGUGUGGACAUAGCAAACUUUGAGGCAAGGAUGCAAGCAAUGGCAAAGCCUACGUACAAUGCUAUCAGACAACAUGCAAAGCAUGGUAAGCCUGCCCUGGUAUUUGUACCGGCAAUGAAGCAUGCAAGGUUUACUGCGUUGGACUUGUGCGCAUACUCAAAUGCUGAAGGUUGUGGAACACCUUUCCUUCUUGGGUCAGAAGAUGAGAUAGACACGUAUACGAGAGGUGUCAAUGAAGAAACGCUUGUAAAUACGCUGAAAUGUGGUGUAGGCUACUUGCAUGAGGCUCUAAGUGAUCUUGAUCAGGAAGUUGUGACUCAGCUGUUCCUUUGUGGGAAGAUCCAAGUGUGCGUCGUGAGCAGCACAAUGUGCUGGGGAAGAUCACUGCCUUCCCAUUUGGUUGUUGUGAUGGGAACACAGUAUUCUGAUGGGUGGGGCAGUGUCACUGACUAUCCAGUCAGUGAUCUGCUACAAAUGAUGGGUCAUGCCAGCAGGCCUCUUCAAGAUAACUCAGGGAAAUGUGUUAUAUUGUGCCAUGCACCUCGCAAGGAAUACUGCAGGAAGUUCCUUUCAGAGGCCUUCCCUGUUGAGAGCCAUCUACACCAUAAUUUGCAUGAUCAUAUGAAUGCUGAAGUUGUUUGUGGUGUUGUGGAAAACAAGCAAGCUGCUGUGGAUUAUCUUACUUGGACUUUCAUGUACCGGAGGCUGACCAAGAACCCUAACUACUACAAUCUGCAGGGAACAGGUCACAGGCAUGUGUCUGAUCAUCUUUCUGAGCUAGUGGAGACAGUAUUGGACGACCUUGAGUCAAGCAAGUGUGUGGUUAUAGAGGAGGAUACGUAUCUUAAGCCCCUCAACCUUGGUCUCAUAGCCUCGUACUACUACAUCAGCUACAAGACUAUCGAACGGUUCAGUUCAAUGAUAACCCGGAAGACUAAGAUGAAAGGUCUCCUGGAGAUUCUAGCUUCUUCAUCAGAAUAUGCAGAGCUUCCAAGUUGCCGAGGUGAGGAAGAAUCCAUUGAGACGCUAGUUCGUCACCAGAGAUUUUCUGGUGAGAAUUCUAAGAAUUAUGAUGUACACGUCAAGGCGAACGCGUUGCUGCAAGCACAUUUCUCGAGGCAAACGGCUGUAAGGAACCUGGCAGCCGACCAACGGGAGAUACUCCUUCCUGCACCUAGAUUGAUCAAGUCAUUGGUUGAUGUUAUCUCCAGCAAUGGAUGGCUCAGCCUGGCUCUUAAGGCAAUGGAGCUUAGUCAGAUGGUGACACAAGGCAUGUGGGAUCGUGAUUCUGUGCUGCUUCAACUCCCCCACUUCACCAAGGAGUUAACUGGGAGAUGCCAGGAAAAUGGCAUUGAGAACAUCUUUGAUCUUGCUGAGAUGAGUGCAGACAAGAUGCAGAAUCUGCUGCAGUUACCAAACUCUCAGCUUAAGGACAUCAUCGGAUUCGUCAAACGGUUCCCGGAUAUCGAAAUGGCAUAUGAAGUCCUUGAAGGUGAUGAUAUUAGAGCCAGUGGCAAUGUAACUUUGCAGGUUACUCUAGAGCGUGACAUGACAAACUUGCCAUCUGAGGUUGGGCCAGUUCAUGCCCCGAGGUAUCCUAAGCCCAGGCUGGAAGGCUGGUGGCUCCUGAUUGGUGAUAGCUCCAGCGACCAGUUGCUGGCAAUCAAGUGGGUUGCAGUGCUGCAGAGGGCUCGCCUGAAGCUUGAGUUCAUUGCCCCCGCAGAAGCAGGGAAGAAGGAUUUCAUGGUUUUCUUGAUGUCAGAUUCCUAUCUGGGCAUUGAUCAGGAAUACGUGUUCACUGUGAACGUGAAGGACGCCGGAGGGGAUUGA